GUAACAAGGUCUCCGUUGGUGAACCAGCGGAGGGAUCAUUACAGAGUUUACAACUCCCAAACCCAAAUGUGAACAUACCAAUCGUUGCUUCGGCGGACUCGUCCCGGUGUCCGGGUGGCCUUGUGCUGCCCGCGGCCCGGAUCCAGGCGGCCGCCGGAGAUCAUCAAACUCUUUGUAUUACCAGUAUCUUCUGAAUCCGCCGCAAGGCAAAACAAAUGAAUCAAAACUUUCAACAACGGAUCUCUUGGUUCUGGCAUCGAUGAAGAACGCAGCGAAAUGCGAUAAGUAAUGUGAAUUGCAGAAUUCAGUGAAUCAUCGAAUCUUUGAACGCACAUUGCGCCCGCCAGCAUUCUGGCGGGCAUGCCUGUUCGAGCGUCAUUUCAACCCUCGAGCUCCCUUUGGGGAGCCCGGCGUUGGGGACCGGCCUCUACCGCCGACCCCGAAAUACAGUGGCGGCCCCGUCACGGCGACCUCUGCGUAGUAAUUUAACCUCGCACCGGAAACCCGACGUGGCCACGCCGUAAAACACCCCACUUCUGAACGUUGACCUCGGAUCAGGUAGGAAUACCCGCUGAACUUAAGCAUAUCAAUAAGCGGAGGAAAAGAAACCAACAGGGAUUGCCCCAGUAACGGCGAGUGAAGCGGCAACAGCUCA
rnacentral:misc_RNA from 1 species